rnacentral:lncRNA from 1 species
GCAGGGACCGAACCCGCAACCUCAUGGUUCCUAGUCGGAUUCGUUAACCACUGCGCCACGACGGGAACUCCUGGAUUGGUGUCCUUCAAGGCCGCCUGGAGAACUGGGUCUACUGCUUCCCCGACUGUUUCCAUUCAGGAAACACAACAAAGCAACGGCGAGCCAACAGUAGAAGCCCAGAAGAAAUGCACAAUGUGGAGUUCCCGUCGUGGCGCAGCAGAAAUGAAUCCAACUAGGAACCGUGAGGUUGUGGGUUCGAUCCCUGGCCUUGCUCAGUGGGCUACGGAUCCGGCGUUGCCAUGAGCUGUGGUGUAGGUUGCAGAUGUGGCUCAGAUCCCGAGUUGCUAUGACUGUGGUGUAGGCCGGCGGCUACAGCUCUGAUUCGACCCCUAGCCUGAGAACCUCCAUAUGCUGUGGGAGAGGCCCUAGAAAAGACAAAAAAAAAAAAAAGAGAGAGAGAAAGAAAAAAGAAACGCACAAUGUGCUAACAAGGGGCCUUGGUGCUUCUGCUGGCCCCACACGUGACACCCUCGCUUCUAAGAGGCCUGGGGGUCACCUAAUCAACCUGCCAAUGAGCCUGGGGGAUUCUGGAUCAACUCUGACGGCCAUCGUCACUGUGCCUCUCACCUGGAAAUGCCUUCUUCGCUUCCACUGGGAUGCUGGCUAACUAAGCACUGACUGCACAGACUCACUGAUUCACCCUGAAUUUGGCACCUGUUACGACUCAGCCACUCCACUGGGGACACAAACAUCAACAAAACCUACUUUAUACCCCUCUAGAGCUUCACCAUCAAAUUAAAUGUAGGCUCAAGUAAAAUAAAAAAAGGCAGAAAAGGAAUUAAGAUUUGUUGAGCCCUUAAGUUACAGAAACUGAGUAUGUUUCAGCUUUUUAUUUUAUUUGUUUAUUUCUAGGCAUAUUUAUUUAUUUGUUUCUAGCCACACCUGCAGCAUAUGGACGUUCCCAGGCCAGGGAUCGAAUCUGAGCCGCUGCUACGACCUUUGCCAUAGCUGAGGCUAUGCCAGAUCCUUGACCCACUGUACCACAGGGGGAGCUCCCUAUUUCAGCUGUUUAAUCUUCUUAAUUGCAUUUAUUUCUUGGAGAACUAUUAUCCCCUUUAUUUUAUGCACAAGAAAACUGGGUCUCAAAUUCACCUACCUUGAGCGGAAAAAAAGAGCCACCGGCAAAUGAGGAGUGCCCACCACACCACCAAGGGCAGCCCCUUUCUGCUACCUCAAUUGGCUUUGUCUGCCCACCUCAUUCAGAGUUUCCAACCACAGAAUGUUAUAGAAGGAAUGGGUGACUAGCUUCCGCGUACUUAGAAAACAAAAAUCACAAUGGCUAGGAGCCGGCAAAUGUUGACGAACAACAACCCUCAUUAGGCAAGCCUUACUCUCUUUGGGAAUGGUUACUGCACUGGUAGAUCAAGGAACGAGGUAAACACACUUGUCGGGACAACGAGGUGGUUGCUUGACUUGUUUCCUCCUUCCAUACUUGCUCCUGAUCCCACAGCUUUUCCCACAAAACAGCUAGCGCUUUUCCUUCUUUUGCUCGUCCCUCCCUCUCUUCCUUCCUUUCAGUCUUAACAUUUAAGAGUUCAAUCAAAGCACGUCCCCCUCGUGCUCAACACCUGCCACUGGACGCCCCCAACUCUCACGGGCAAGUGGGAAAGCGUGACGCCUUCCCCGUAGUACGUGCGUCCCCGCGUGACCCGUGAGCGCCUGCCUUGCCCCGAGCUCAGGUGCACAGUCUCCAGCGGAUCCCAGGAGGCGCUUUGGAACCUCUGCCUCCGUCGUUCCCUCCGCCCGGAACACCACCCUCCGACACCCCCACGCGCACACCUUCACCCCAUCCGGGUUUCUGCUCAAAUGCCACCUCCUCAGAGAAGCUGUUUCAGAUCAUCCCUCCAACCCCUCACCCUCCCACUUUUCUUACUUAGGAUUUUAGCAUUUCCUACCACACCUCAUUACAUACAUCUAUGUGUGUACGUGGUCUGCUUGCCCCAACUAGACCAGAAUCCCCCCUGAGGGCGGGGGCUCUGUUUCCUAUUUCUGGGGACUGGACGGGGACAGGGCUCAGCACACACCAAGCUGAAUGAAGAAUGAAUGAGUCUGGAUUUCAGUCAAGUCUCAGAGGAGACCUCUCACCCUUGUGGAGGAGCUGAUUGAUAGAAGUUGAAGGACUGAAUAAGCUGAUUUAUAACAGUAUAAGCAACAGAACCUCAAGGAUCCUAAUCCAUGAUGUGAUAACCUGGAGAGAUAUUUAGAGCAUGAUUUUGAAAGUGGCUGUAAGAGGUGAGGACUGAGGCCGCCCAGAGGAAAGCAAUACACAACAGCUGCAAUGAUGGGUGGAGGGAGCGGGUAUCAAAUUUUACCUUGAGGGACCCCUCCCACACUGCUAGUGAGCACGUAAAUUGGCACAACCGUUAUGGAGAACAGUAUGGAGGUUCCUUGAAAAAUUAGACAUAGGAGUUCCCGCUGUGGCACAGUGCGUUAAGAAUUCAACUGCAGCAGCUAAUGUUGCUGCAGAGGCAUGGAUUUGAUUCCUGGUCUAAUGCAGUGGGUUAAAGGAGCCAAUGUUGCCACAGCUGCGGCAUAGGUCAUAGCUGUGGCUCGGCUUAAAUUUCUGGGCAGAGAACUGUCCAAUGUCACAGGUGUGGUCAUAAACAAACAAACAAAUGAGGAGUUCCCUUUGUGGGUCAGUGGAAAUGAACCCAACAAUUAUCCAUGAGGAUGUGGGUUUGGUCCCUGGCCUCCUGCAGUGGGUUAAGGACCUGGCGUUGCUGUGGCUAUGGUGCAUGCCAGCAGCUGAAGCUCUGACUGGACCCCUAGCCAGGGAACUUCCAUAUGCUGUGGGUGCAGCCCUAAAAAAGUAAAAAACAAAACAAAACAAAAAACAAACCAAAAAACCCCCAAAACAUAGAUCCAGCAAUCCCACUCCUGGGCAUAUAUCCAGAGAAAACCAUAAUGUGAAAAGAUACAUGCACCCCAAUGUUCACAGCAGCACUAUUUACAAUCGUCAAGAUGUGGAAGCAACCUGAAUGUCCAUCAACAGAGGAAUGGCUAAAGAAGAUGUAGUACAUAUACACAAUGGAAUAUUACUCAGUCAUAAAAAAGAAUGGAAUCAUGCCAUUUGCAGCAACAUGGGUGGACCUACAGAUGAUCAUACCUAGAGAUGAUCAUAAGUGAAGCAAAUCAGAUAAAGGCAAUCAUAUGAUAUCAGUUAUAUGUGGAAUCUUAAAAAUGGAUACAAAUGAACUAAUUUACAAAACAGAAACAGACUCACAGGUUUUGAAAACAAACUUAUGGUUACCAAAGGGAAAGGAAGGGGGGGGAGGAAAAAUUAGUAGUUUGGGUUUAACAUAUACACACUAUUAUAUAUAAAAUAGUUAAUCAACAGGCACCUACUGAAUAGCACAGAGAACUCUAAUAAAUAUUCUGUAAUAACCUAUAUGGGGAAAGAAUCUUAAAAAGAAUGGAUAUACGUAUAUGUGUAACUGAACCAUUAUGUUAUACACCUGAAAAUAACACAACGUUGGAAAUCAACUAGACUCCAAUAUAAAAUAAAAAUUAAAUAAAAAGUUAGACCUUGAGGGGGAUCAGAAUACGCUCCUUCAAAAUGCACCACUUUGGCUCAAGGAUUAUUUUGAGAUGAAGGCAAUUCAGCAUCAACAGAUGCACGAAGCGUUUUCUGCUCUCCCCUUACCUGCCCAAACCAGGGCAUAUAUUUCCUCGUGAAGGUGUCUCUGUCUCCCAAACCAGGAACAGGAGAGAAACUCAUCCCCAGAAGUGGACAUUCAACACCAAAAUAGGUCUAUAAAAACAUACCUCACUAAACCAGCCCUUAUCUUCCAUUAGUGUUCACUAUAUAUUUUCUUGUCACUCCCCUUAUUUAGAGCCCAAACUCCCUUUCCUUUGUUGAAAAAAAAUAAGCCCUUGUGUCGAACCACUUCUUUGAGCUUCACUUCUUUUCUGUCAACUCUUGUGCAUGUGAAAUUAAUAAAACUGGAUGCCUUGGAGUUCCCGUCGUGGCUCAGUGGAACCAUGAGGUUGCGGGUUUGAUCCCUGGCCUGGCUCAGUGGGUUAAGGAUCCGGCGUUGCCAUGAGCCGUGGUGUAGGUCACAGACUCAGCUCGGAUCCCGUGUUGCUGUGGCUCUGGCGGAGGCAACGGCUACAGCUCCGAUUAGACCCCUAGCCUGGGAACCUCCAUAUGCUGCGGGUGUGGCCCUAUAAGAACAAACAAACAAAAAAAAAAACUGGAUGUCUUGUCUCCUGUUCCACCUUUCUUUGGCUAGUUUAAUUUGCAGGUUCCCUGAGACUAAUCCUAGGAGGGUAGAGGAAAAGUUUCUCCUCCCCAACAACCUUCACGUCACCGUCAAUCCACGUGCCUUUCGAGUCCACUUUAUUUAGUGCUUGGCCAGAUCACCAGGAACAUAUUUAAUUCAAUGCGUGCUCUACUUUUUAAGAGCUAUAUUUAUAGCUCACUCAGAUAGGAGGAAUCAGCCUAAGGGCACAAAAAGACAUGUCAUAUGAGGACUUAGGGAUUUUCAGCCUGGAAAAGAAAAGAUUGAAAGAAGGAGGUGAGCACAGACUCUCCAGGGGAUGGAGAGGUAGAAAGAACUGGCAACAAAGACCUAAUGCGAAAGCAGGGCAGACCUCAGGGUACUUAUAUCAGAAGAUUUUUUUC